rnacentral:rRNA from 1 species
AUACGGAGGGUGCAAGCGUUACUCGGAAUCACUGGGCGUAAAGCGCACGCAGGCGGUCUUUUAAGUUGGAUGUGAAAGCCUACGGCUCAACCGUAGAACUGCAUCCAAAACUAUUAGACUAGAGUGUGGGAGAGGAAGAUGGAAUUAGUUGUGUAGGGGUAAAAUCCGUAGAGGUAACUAGGAAUACCAAAAGCGAAGGCAAUCUUCUGGAACACUACUGACGCUGAGGCGCGAAAGCGUGGGGAGCGAACAGGAUUAGAAACCCCGGUAGUCC